rnacentral:rRNA from 1 species
AGCAGCCGCGGUAAUUCCAGCUCCAAUAGCGUAUAUUAAAGUUGUUGCAGUUAAAAAGCUCGUAGUUGAAUUUCGGGAUUGGCGCAUCGGUCGUGCCUCACGGGGUAUGAACUGGUGCAGUCAAUUUCUCACCUUCUGGAGAACCGCGAUGUCCUUAAUUGGAUGCCGCGGGGAACCAGGACCUUUACUUUGAAAAAUUAGAGUGUUUAAAGCAGGCAUUUUUGCUUGAAUACAUUAGCAUGGAAUAAUAAAAUAGGACGGCAUGGUUCUAUUUUGUUGGUUUCUAGGACCACCGUAAUGAUUAAUAGGGAUAGUUGGGGGCAUUAGUAUUCAAUUGUCAGAGGUGAAAUUCUUGGAUUUAUUGAAGACUAACUACUGCGAAAGCAUUUGCCAAGGAUGUUUUCAUUAAUCAAGAACGAAAGUUAGGGGAUCGAAGACGAUCAGAUACCGUCGUAGUCUUAACCAUAAACUAUGCCGACUAGGAAUCAGACGAUGUUAAUUUUUUAANGACUCGUUUGGU